GGACGGGGCCCGCACAAGCGGUGGAGCAUGUUGGUUUAAUUCGAAGCAACGCGAAGUAACCUUACCAGGUCUUGACAUCCCGAUGCUAUUUCUAGAGAUAGAAAGUUACUUCGGUACAUCGGUGACAGGUGGUGCAUGGUUGUCGUCAGCUCGUGUCGUGAGAUGUUGGGUUAAGUCCCGCAACGAGCGCGACCCCUAUUGUUAGUUGCCAUCAUUCAGUUGGGCACUCUAGCGAGACUGCCGGUAAUAAACCGGAGGAAGGUGGGGAUGACGUCAAAUCAUCAUGCCCCUUAUGACCUGGGCUACACACGUGCUACAAUGGUUGGUACAACGAGUUGCGAGUCGGUGACGGCGAGCUAAUCUCUUAAAGCCAAUCUCAGUUCGGAUUGUAGGCUGCAACUCGCCUACAUGAAGUCGGAAUCGCUAGUAAUCGCGGAUCAGCACGCCGCGGUGAAUACGUUCCCGGGCCUU
rnacentral:rRNA from 1 species